UUUCCUUAUUAAUUGGUUCAAACCAGUUCUUACAGGAACUGGUGGUGAUAAAUGUGGGACUUCUGAGAAGUCAUUCAUUUUAUUCUUUGUGCCACACCAGAGUACAGCAUCAGCUGAGCUGGCCUUACUCUGGGGACUAGCUCUUUUGCUGGAAGCGGUUCCUGAUUUACAGCUCUUGGUUUCUCCCAGACAUGUUGGUGGGAGAGAUUUUGCUUUUUAAGGGUUGUUAGAAGGAGUAAAUUUUUUUUUUUUUUUUAACUAAAAAGAGCUCGCAGAAUUUCAGCAGUUUUCUGAUUUUUAUAUUUUAUUCCUCUUCCUAUCCAAUCCCUGCCUUUUGAGUCCAGGUGGUCCAUCUCUGCAGAAGCCAUUUCAGGAGUACCUGGAGGCUCAACGGCAGAAGCUUCACCACAAAAGCGAAAUGGGCACACCACAGGGAGAAAACUGGUUGUCCUGGAUGUUUGAAAAGUUGGUCGUUGUCAUGGUGUGUUACUUCAUCCUAUCUAUCAUUAACUCCAUGGCACAAAGUUAUGCCAAACGAAUCCAGCAGCGGUUGAACUCAGAGGAGAAAACUAAAUAAGUAGAGAAAGUUUUAAACUGCAGAAAUUGGAGUGGAUGGGUUCUGCCUUAAAUUGGGAGGACUCCAAGCCAGGAAGGAAAAUUCCCUUUUCCAACCUGUAUCAAUUUUUACAACGUUUUUCCUGAAAGCAGUUUAGUCCAUACUUUGCACUGACAUACUUUUUCCUUCUGUGCUAAGGUAAGGUAUCCACCCUCGAUCCAAUCCACCUUGUGUUUUCUUAGGGUGGAAUGUGAUGUUCAGCAGCAAACUUGCAAUAGGCUGGCCUUCUGUUUGUUACUUUCAAAAGGCCCACAUGA
rnacentral:sRNA from 1 species